UACGUAGGUGGCAAGUGUUGUCCGGAUUUAUUGGGCGUAAAGCGAGCGCAGGUGGUUUAUUAAGUCUGGUGUAAAAGGCAGUGGCUCAACCAUUGUAUGCAUUGGAAACUGGUAGACUUGAGUGCAGGAGAGGAGAGUGGAAUUCCAUGUGUAGCGGUGAAAUGCGUAGAUAUAUGGAGGAACACCGGUGGCGAAAGCGGCUCUCUGGCCUGUAACUGACACUGAGGCUCGAAAGCGUGGGGAGCAAACAGG
rnacentral:rRNA from 1 species